ACGUGAAACCGUUCAGGGGUAAACCUGAGAAACCCAAAAGAUCGAAUGGGGAGAUUCAUCGUCAACGGUGGCUGGUUCCCGUUGGUGCGCGAUGCUCCGAAUGGGCUCAUAUCUUAUGGACCCAUGGCGAGGGCACGCCACCUUCGGCUCGAAUCUUCCGGCGCCGUAGUCGUGCACUUCUCCCCUAGUAGAACGUCGCGACCCGUUGUGUGUCGGUCUACGGCCCGAGCGGGCGCCUGUCGCGUCGCGAUUCUCGCACGCGUCAGACCCUCGGACGCCUGGCCGGCUGCACGACGGUACUCCCACGGUAUCGGGCCGCAACCAAUCCAUUCUCGAAUGUGUGUGCGUCUAGCCCGCCGCAAGCUCGAUCAGUUCUUACCCGGUGGUACGGACCUGGUGCCGUCCCUGGGCCUGAUCAGCUGUUAGCAGGCGGUGUCCUCGGACUGGCCAAGCUUUGAAUUACCGGUCGGCGACGCUACUGCUUUGGGUACUCUCAGGACCCGUCUUGAAACACGGACCAAGGAGUCUAACAUGUGCGCGAGUCAUUGGGAUGCACAAACCUAAAGGCGAAAUGAAAGUGAAGGUCGUCCAUUGCGUCGACCGAGGGAGGAUGGGCCGCGUUACGAGGCGGCCCCGCACUCCCGGGGCGUCUCGUUCUCAUUGCGAGAAGAGGCGCACCCAGAGCGUACACGUUGG
rnacentral:rRNA from 1 species